GACGAACGCUGGCGGCGUGCUUAACACAUGCAAGUCGAACGGAAAGGCCCUGCUUUUGUGGGGUGCUCGAGUGGCGAACGGGUGAGUAACACGUGAGUAACCUGCCCUUGACUUUGGGAUAACUUCAGGAAACUGGGGCUAAUACCGGAUAGGAGCUCCUGCUGCAUGGUGGGGGUUGGAAAGUUUCGGCGGUUGGGGAUGGACUCGCGGCUUAUCAGCUUGUUGGUGGGGUAGUGGCUUACCAAGGCUUUGACGGGUAGCCGGCCUGAGAGGGUGGCCGGCCACAUUGGGACUGAGAUACGGCCCAGACUCCUACGGGAGGCAGCAGUGGGGAAUAUUGCACAAUGGGCGGAAGCCUGAUGCAGAAACGCCGCGUGCGGGAUGACGGCCUUCGGGUUGUAAACCGCUUUCGCCUGUGACGAAGCGUGAGUGACGGUAAUGGGUAAAGAAGCACCGGCUAACUACGUG
rnacentral:rRNA from 1 species